rnacentral:tRNA from 1 species
UGGGGCGUAGCCAAGUGGUAAGGCACGGGACUUUGACUCCCGCAUUCGUUGGUUCGAACCCAGCCGCCCCAGCCA